GAUUUUCAUAUCUUUCAUCUUAAUAAAGGCAACAGUAGUAUACUGCUGUUCGAAAUUCAUAAAUCGAUUGAAAAAAAAAACAAAUCCUGGUUUCAAACUAAAACUGAGGGAUACGCAUCAAAUAUAUGAGGAAAACUACGACACAACAGAAACACAACAUUAAAAUGUAACACACACAGAAACGAACUAUAGUAUAACAAUGGCCAUUUUCCUGACUUGGUACAGGACAUUUUAGAAAAA
rnacentral:lncRNA from 1 species